UGUUCCCUUAUCUCCUCAUCCGAUCCAAAAUUCCAAACCAGCAGAUCCCAGCUUGUUCUGCUCCAUGGAUGGCUCGCACAGAUCCUUGUGGCACGCCUCAUCCAAUCCCCACCUCUCUGCACGCAGCAGCGCCACCGCCGCCUGCCUACUUUAAUCCUGGGGUCGAUCUGCUGUAGUUGCCGUCGCGCACCCGCUGCAGUCUCCAUCUGUUCUUCCAGGCUACGUUACUGUCCGUGGCACAUUCAAUAGUCCUAUGUAAAUAUUUGUUGUCUCGAACGGGGUCUGAUUUGGAGCUGCAAAGGUUCUAGAGUUCUGACAAUAUGGAAAAGUGGAGACAACAGAUGGAUUUACUUUUCAUUCCUUGUCACUACCACAGAAACAAUGAAAAUAGAUGGGGUGAGAGACAGUUUUCUAAAAUAUAUCACUGAUAAAAUAUUUAAACAUAUUUACUAAACAGACAUGUCUAUAAAAUAACCGACUGUCUGGGUGUGUCACUCCAUCUGUUUCUAUCAUAUAGACACAGACAAAAUGUCUCCCCCCACUAAAACAACGAAGUUCAUCCAUCUACUUGUCUCCCUUGUUGUCAUCUGAUCUCCUUCCAUAAUGGGUUUGAUUUUGUGAAAGAGGUUCGAGACUUGGGCGAUGAAUCAAUGUUUAGAUCUACACUGAGCAUAUCAUCAAGGGAGUUAGUAGAACCAAUGAGAGGACCAUAGUGGGUGUGUGCAAGUGGCUGAUGCACAUUUUCAACUGGAUCCCCAGCAACAUGAUCUUAAGAUGAGAGCUGUGCUAAGCCAUGCUACUUAGGGGUACUUAGGGGAGCUCAUCCCAAUUAAUGCGACAUCUACUUGGAGGCAGUAUGUAGAUAUAGCAUGUGAACGUGGUCUCCCUCUUGUGCUGUUAGCUAAGGCGUACCAAAAGGAUCUAACAGAGAUAAAUAUUGGGGACGCAGUAGCAGGAAUAAGUCAAAUAUUGGUGGAUGAAGCAGACCCGAUAACUGUGGGGGAUGAGUAAGAUGUUGGGGAUGUGCAAGAGAUGCAACCGAGGGGUGUAGCCGAUGAGGGGAGCAAAUCCCUAGCAUAAUUGAAGAGAUGGAGAGGGAGGAUCGGGAGCUAGAGGAAGCCAUUGCCAAUGAGGAUUCAUCUGAUGAGGAGGGAAAUGCUUCUGUUCCUGCAGAGUGGAGGAAUCAUAAAUUUUCAAAGCUGGUGGUCCAUUAGGUUUAUCGGACACCUUGGAAAUAUCAUGAGAAUGAGGUGUUCCAGAGUGCUAUGUACCCUAGUAAGGAGGCUAUUAUUGAUGCAAUGAAAUUAUGGUCGUUGUUUCUUUGGUGGUAGUUCAAGGUUGUGAAGCUGAGCAAAAGGGAGUAUGACGUUAAGUGUUUGGAACUUGAUUAUCCGUGGCAGGUGCACGCAUUCAGCAGGAAAUGAGUUGACCACUGAGAGUGCUCAAUAGUUAGGGAGCAUAACUGUCACAUUGAGGAAAUAGAGUUCUCCCAUCAAAACUUGUCAUCUGCUUUUGUUGCCAAUGUUGUGUAGGAAGAGAUUAUGGACAAUCUAAAGUAUGAGCCACGAUCAAUAAUCUGUGCUAUUGAGGAAAGGUUCUAGUGCACAAUAAACUAUGCCAAGGCAUGGAGGGAAAAAUAGAAGGCUAUUGAGAUGAGGUUUGGGACAUACGAAGAUUCAUAUGACAAUUUACCAUGUAAACUAGCCAUAAUAUAUGCGAGACACUCUAGAAGUUACUUUGACAUUAAGCAUUACCCCUCGAGUGAGAAGCCUAGAAAGCGAGUAUUGUAGCAUGUUUUCUUUGCAUUUGCGGCAACCAUCAAGGCAUUUAGGCACUAUCAUCCCAUCAUUUGCUUGGAUAGGACGUUCAUCACUGGAAAGUAAAAAGGACAGAUAUUAUCUGUAAUUGGGGUACACGAGAAUAACCAAGUCAUGCCAUUGGGGUUUGCUUUCAUGGAGAGCGAGAACAGGGAGAGCUGGUAUUGGUUCCUUGAGCGGGUUAAGCAUGCUAUUGUUCUGGACCGGCUUGAUGUAUGUUUGAUUCAUGAUACACAUGAAGGAUUAUUGCAUGCUUUGCUAGAUAUUGAAUACGGCAGUGCUCCAUGGUGAGAUGGCUCCGACAUUACAGGACAUAGCCUACUUUUUAGGCUUACCUUGUGCCAGAGCCGCCGUUGGAGUUGUCAACAUGGAUGCAGUUUUGGAUGAACGUCAUGCUCACACAGUUCGCUCCUGUUCAACGUACGAACAAUGCACCUGCCUACAUGCCCGAGUUCCUGUCAGAUCCAUGAGGGUCCACGAAGAAGUGGAUAUUUUACUCAUCAUCAUUUGCAUUACUUCAAGCCUGCAUACAUGCACCCAGACGCCGGUGUGUACUUGAUUUGGUUGUUCGGCUAGGUUAUGUUCACCAGCAGCCAAGUCCACCUAGUGUUGAGGACCCUUAUUCCGUAUGUGAGGGGGGUCGCAGAUGCGGAGCCCAAUGGUAUCCCCUAGUUGAGCUAGGCCUCCGCUGUUCUGGCGGUGACGUAUCAGGCCUUGUGCGAUGCGUGCACGAAGAAGGAACCACAUUCGAUAUCUGCUGGGUGCCCACUACUGUUGCAGUUAUGGUCGUACGAGCGAUUCACGAUCGAUUGACCCAUUGUGGACCACUCCCCGUACCCUAAGGAAUAGUACAAGGAACACGAGGAGGACGGGCCCACCAUGGGCUUGUUAUGGUGUCGACGUCGGGUACGUAAGAAACAUAGCUCUUCUUCACUUGACACAUGUUUUAAGUUUGGUUUCUUACUAUCUUUUUUCCACAACUGCACUGGGCGUACGAGCAGGCCCACAACACGUACAAGCAGUUUAGGUCGCAGUUCAACCGUUUGUGUCCAAAGGACGUGGUCUGGACCCCCCUAUAGGCACUUGAUGAUACAAGCCCGUGCACCUUUCGGUCUAUCUUUGUUGUGCAGCCGCAAUGAUAACUAGUAGCUUACAAAGAAGCUGUUCGUCAUCGACAUCUACGUCGAGGAGUACUCACCCCACCGCAUGAUGAGGCAAUUUGAACACUUCCAGGCAUUCCCCCUCAUCAACGUCCGCACGGUUUCGGGCCAUGUUCACAGGUAUACACGUAAGGGCCAACCGGGUGGCAACCUCUAGGCAGAUCGCUUGGCACCAUACAUCUCGGCGUGGCCCAUGCCCUUGAGGAUUUCAUCGAGGAGCCUCAUCCUUUUGUCGACCCGGCUUCAAGGAGUAGUACAUGGGCCACCUACACCCCCAGAUACUAUUCGACCGCACAUCGCUUUGACUAAAGAGGCCUACCUGGGCCAUUAGGAUGAGAAUGCUGCACGCGGUUGGAACCAUGGAGCGCCUCAGGCAAGGGAUUCAGCUUAGUGCGAAGGAUGUAGCGGGAUUUGUCAAGCGGGUUUUUGAUAAGAUCAUGCGGGCUCUGAAACUUACCUCAUGUCGAUCCACCGCAAACGUCACCAGUUCUCCUCCAAGUCCAACAGGGUCCAUGCAGAGUCAUCCAGGAGGUCUGAUGUGCAACUACCUCCACCGGCACCAGCAUCCACACCGCCACCUUGACUACGGCCUCCAAGGCCAGACACAAUAGGUGCACCUACACACUUAUCGACGCUGACACCUAGACCAUGACCACUGCCGACACCUUCACUAUUCGAAUGCCUCUCAGGUUACUACGAUGAUGAAUCUGGGAUGUCUUCAUCUGCACCUCGAGCGUUCGCACCUCCACCGUUUGGACCUCCAUCGGUCACACCCUACUUAGGCACUCAUGCAUGGCUGUCUGCUACUGCACCUGCAUACCAUACAGGCCCCUCGAGUGAUUAUGCAUGGACGAUGGUAGCACCAUCGUAGUCGUCAUACCCAAGUCAAGAGGAUGAGCCUGCAUCAAACCUCCCGUUAGACCUUGUGAGGGACUUCUUCGGGGGCACAUCGGACUACGAUAUCAUCAUGCGGUCCUGGUUGCUCAGUGCUCCACUAUCGACACAGCAAACUCAGUAGGAGGCCUCGACACAUGUGAUUGCUAUGAGGCUUACCAGUCAGGUUUGUCAAUAGGACACCCUGACCUACUCUAGGAGCUACGUGAGGGCGAACCAGCGGCAGUGGCUGUGAGACCAUGAUGGUGGGAACGGGAGAUGGCAGCGGGGGAGACAGCAAUAGGAUUUUACCUUUACUUUUGUAACUUACAUGCUUGUUUAAUAAUGCAUCUUCGAUUCGUGAACUACUCUUACAUAUUCGGAUGUGUCUACUUUCUAUGUACUACUUACCAUGUCAUUAAUGCAUUUCUAAAUCACAUGUGACCACAAAUUA